rnacentral:lncRNA from 1 species
AAACGGUCAGCACUAUGAUCGCCAAGGCUGCAAAAGUUGCCAACCCAACAGCUCGGAAGAGAAUGAUCAGCGAAAGGCAAAGCUGCAAGCUUGUCGUCCAUGUCUGGUGAAACCAAAAGGGGAACUCGCCGAUUCGGUAAGCAUCUACCGUGACAUAGUUCAUUAUCUCGCCUCCCGAGUGGGUUAAUCUACUGGCAUUCGACAGCUUCAGUUGCUUCUUGUAGAUUGCAGCUGUGAGUAAAGACCUUAUCUUUAAGCCGAUGAGUCUAGACCUGAAGUACCAUUGCCUUUGAGAUAAGGACUCCAAAGACUUGCUGAAGAAAAGGGUCAACGCUAGUAGAUAUCCUUCAUAUUGGAAACUAGCGUUUCCUU